UACGUAGGGUGCAAGCGUUAAUCGGAAUUACUGGGCGUAAAGCGUGCGCAGGCGGUUUUGUAAGACUGUCGUGAAAUCCCCGGGCUUAACCUGGGAAUUGCGAUGGUGACUGCAAGGCUAGAGUUUGGCAGAGGGGGGGUAGAAUUCCACGUGUAGCAGUGAAAUGCGUAGAGAUGUGGAGGAACACCGAUGGCGAAGGCGGGUUGCUGGGCUGACACUGACGCUGAGGCGCGAAAGCUAGGGGAGCGAACGGG
rnacentral:rRNA from 1 species